rnacentral:hammerhead_ribozyme from 1 species
AUUCAGCUGACGAAUUCCAAAUAGGACGAAAGGCCCAUCCUGGAU